ACCUAAGGAGAUGAUGAGAGAAUCUCUGCUUGAGCUUGUUCAGGAAUCUGAGGAGAUGAUGAAACCUCCCCUUCAGCUGGUUCAUGCAUCAGAGAGGACUGAUUUGUGAAAGUUUGAGACACCUCUUUAGUAGGGUCAUCAGAUGAUAACAAGUCUAGAACAUGAAAUAUAGGAGUACUUGCAGACUUCAGAUGUUUGAAAGGAAAAACAUCCUCUUUGAACACCACAUUUCUUCUUACUAAGAGGAUCUUGUUCUGAAGAUCAUAUAGUUUGUAUCCCUUUUGGGUGGAAGAGUAGACCACACGUACUGCUGGGAUGGCUCUGGAGGCAAAGUUAUCCAUAUAUUUAGGGACAGGUGCAUAGAACAGGCAUCCAAAUACCCUCAGGUUACUGAGAGAAGAAGCAUGCAAAUAAAGCAUCUCAAAUGAAGAUUUGAAGUUGAUGACUCUUGAUGGUAGCCUAUUCAGAAGAUUGACAACAGUGUUGACACAAUCACCUCAAAAUUUUGAGAGGAAUACCUGCUUAGAACCUUAAUGCUCUGGCUAUUUUAAAGAUAGUUCUAUGUUUUCUUUCUGCUACUCCAUUCAGCUGUGGAGUAUAAAUAAAUAUACUUUGAUGUUCCACUCCAAGAGUAUAUAGGAAUUCCUUAAAGUCAGUGCUAAAGAACUCAUACCAUUAUCUGUUCUGGGUAUCUUAAUAGAAGCACUGAACAUAUUUUUGACUUUAGCAAAGAAUUCCUUAAGUACUACUACAGUGUCAGACUUUGAAUGCAAGAGAAAAAUCCAGGGUAAAUCUAGUGUGUUCAUCCACAAUUGCAAUAAAUAAAUCUUUUGCCGUCAUAUAUGGGAACUCUGUAGAGACCGUAAAUAUCACAAUGUAGUAAAUCAAAAGCAUAAGUAGAUAGUAUUAAUCAGGUGAAAGGGCAAUUUUGUUUGUUUUGCAAGUGGACAUACUGUACAAUGUUGAUGAGAAUUAGAUUUCAAGUGUAUAAGCAACUUUUGUUUCUUUAUUACUUCUAAUGAAUCGUGCCCUAACCUUUUAUGCCACAAGCUACUAGAAUUUGAUACAACUGACAUGUGGGAGUAGCUAGUCUUAUUAAGAGAACUUGUGUUAUUCACUUGUUCUUUGGAGUCUUGACAUGGCUUUCACUUUAUUCUCCUAUAACACAUAUAGUCCAUAUUUUUCCCUACCAAUCCCCUUCACAUGUCCAUUGAAGAGAUCUUGGAAUAUGUAGAAUUCAGGAAAGAACAAUACUAAGCAUUUUAGUUCUUUAGUGAGUUUGGAUACUGAGAGAAGAUUGAACUUAAAUAUACAACACAUUAUGUAUGUCUUGGUUUUUAAGCAUAGUAGCCAAUUAUGUAUGUGUAACUAAUGCUACCCCUCUUGUAGGUAAAUGCACAUUAUCCCUGUCUGAUUUUUGUAUUAAUUUGUAUGCCCUAAAUAUUUGUAAGCUAGAGGUCAUGUGAUUAGAAGCACCGGUAUCCACAAUCCAUUCUCUAUCACUAUAGACAGACACAUGAUCUGUUUCUGUACCUGCAAAUGCUGACGUAGUUGAGGGUCCUUCAUCUGAUCCCUUGCUGAGCAUUUGAAUGAUCUGCAGAUACUAUUCUGGUGUGAAGAAAGUUGAGGGAGCUUGUUGUUGACCUGCUGGUAAUGCCAUAGAAGUGAAUCCUCCCUUGAUAGAUGGGGGUUUCCCAAGUUUGCUAGUGUUGUUGACAUGACCAUUUGCUCCACAUGUUACAUCUCGUGUAAAAGGUGUCAUCCAGCCAGCUUGAUUUGCAUAGGAGUUACCAGUUCUAGUUACUCCUCCUCUCCUUUUAGACUUGAGGUAUGGUGGAUAUCCAACUAGUUUAUAGCAGUUUUCCUUAGUAUGACCCUUCAGAUGACAGUACUCACACACAUGUAUAUUUCUUUUGGUCCAGGUUUGAAGUUAGAACAAGCAUAGUUUCUCCCUUAUUACUAAACAAUGCAGUGCUUUCUAUCACCUUAGUGACCAGUGAGGUUUGUAUGAAAUUAGCUAUGUUCCUUUGGCUCUCUUGAUCUAUGAUUAUUGAACAUGACUUGAUCACAAUUGGAGUAGGGUACAUCAUUGUGAUCUGACUUCUUUCUUGGCUAUAAGACUCAUUCAAACUAGUUAAAAACUACAUUUACCUUUGAUACUAAAAGUGCUCGAGAUAUUCCCUCGAUUCAGGACAUGUGCUACUAGGACAUGGAAUUAUAGCAUCAAACUCAUCCCAAAUGUCCCCGAGUUUAGAAAAAUAGUCUGUUUCAGUCAUUGUGCCUUGAGUGAGUGAGCGAAUUUCUUUAUACAAGUAUUACACCCUAUCACCAUUCACUUUUAUCAAACCUUUCUUUCAAAUCCUCCUUUAUCUUGUGAGCAUUUGAGGCAUACACCACACUGCUUAAUAGUCCUAGUCUUACAUCAUUCAUGAUCUAAGACAAAACUACAAUGUUUACCUUUUCCCAUUGAUCAUGUAACUAAGGUUGAAACGUAGACUUAGGAAAUCUACCAUAAAAAAGGUCUAGUUUACUUUAACAUAACAGUCAAAUCCUCAUAGAUCUGCUCUAAAUAGCAUAGUUUUCAGACUCAGUUAACUGAAGAGAGAUUAAGAUACUACCUGGAGUAUUAGUUGGUUGUAGGUAUAUAGGAUGGUUAUGAUCAAUUGUAGGGAAGAUAUUGCCUCGAAUGGGAGCAGUUGUCUCGUCAGAAGUUCAUGUGGUUAGUCCAAGUGCUCUUAUUUGCAACAAAUUAGCUCAGAUCUCAAAACACUAGUUUGCGCUAGGGAGAUGAUUCAAUGCUGAAAUUGAAGAGAAUUGAAGAAAUUCAGUGACCAGAGAUUCACAACACCGACUCUGAUACCAUGAUAACAUCCAUAGCGGGAAGCUUCAACAUCGAGGAUGUUUGAGGAAGAAGAUGAGAGGAAUUUCUGGGAGAGAAUUCGAGAGAGGAAAUGAAGGUUUCCAUUAUCUUCUUCUAAGAAUAAGUUGUAUCUUUACAAAGACUAUAUAUAGAAAAACACAACUAAGAACUAACCGACUACCUACAGUAAUAACUGUCUAACUAACUUCACUAACUCUACAAAUAAUACAACUUAAUGUACAAUCUUCUAAAUCCACAGCUUGUAUUGGCUCACUACUCUUCUACACAUUAAUUAAAGUUAAUCUAUUGAUAAAAGUGGUAGGAUCAACAAUUAUUCAACAUUCAUGACCUGGCCAAUGGCUACUUCCCGUUCAAGUAUAUAUUUAUCCCAAACGGAAAUCAACAUAAGUAUAUGAAAGUUAUUGGUUUCAUUUUAAAUAUCGUAUGUUAAUAUGCUUAAUAUUGUAUGUGCCUGUUGUUGAAACAUUUUCUAGAAGUAUGUGUACAAUCUUUUUCUAUACAUUCGAAGAGAUGUAUUCAAGUUUUGUAGAAUGCAAUAUCAAUUCAAGAUAAGGUACAUUAGUUAUUGAUAAUAGGUGAAUUUAACUAUAAUCAUGCCCUAAAUAAUCACCUUCUUAUAUAGUUUUGAUGAUGAAAGUGAUAACAAAAUGCUCUUAUUUGUGCUUUACAUGCUUUGCAGGUUGUAUAUGACCAAAGAAGGAUAUGGAGUACUUUUGGGAUCAAAAAGUGGAGAAAAAGAGACCAACUAUAGAUGUCCGUCUAGUGAACCACGCAAACAGCUCAAAAUCAGGCCUGAACAAUCAGAGAACUGGGUCUGCCGCGGUUCCACCGCGACCGCGGCAAAACCGCGAUGAAAGAGGGUUGUAGACAAAUUGACUGUCAUAAAGCAUGUUUGACCGCGGUUCUACCGCGAACGCAGCAGAACCACGACAGGAGGCGGUAAUUUCAGCGACUAAAGUGCAAACACGGGAUUGUUUAGCCCAAAAUCCUAUUAAGCACUAGACUUCGCCCAAGAGAGACAUGUAUUGAUUUUUAGAGUUUCUUAGCAAGGAAAAUCAUUGUGACAGAUCACCGAAAACAUAUUUCUUUGAUUCUUAUUGCUAGUUUUUAUGAUGAAUAUUAUUUUAGCUUGUUUGCCCAUAGUCAUGAGUAGCUAAAUCCAUUGUCUAGGAUUUUGAUGGAACCUAUUGGGGGAUGAACUUCUUGUUUAUGUGAAUACAAAUUGCU
rnacentral:lncRNA from 1 species